GAGGCAGAGAGAGAAACCAGAGUCCCAAAAUACUUCAAUACAGCAGGAUGGUGACUCGGCUGUUAUUUCCCAAUGCAUUUGUGCCCUGGAUAAGACCUGAACAAGAUUGGCCUCUUCAGAGUUCCGUCCUGGGCGGGGGAAGGGCUAAACAGGCCCAACCCCUCUCUAACACUCUAACGGCAGUUACCGCACAUUGGGAGGGGGAGAGGCAUUUUCUUCAGUGCUGUAGCCUCCAGUCAACUGCCCUACUUCUGUAAAUGACUUCCUCACCCUUGCUCCUGCUUCCAUGCUGUGGUAGAUCAUUGCAAUCCCGUGGUCUCUUCCGGUCUGCAGCACUUCCCGGCCCUUUCUUCUCUUCCGUACCCUUAGCACUUUGAGGACGCUCUGGCCCGUGGUCCUGUGGAAUCCCGUUCCAUCUCAGCAUGCUUGGCAGUUUCUCAGACUGAGUUGCGGUUAUGGAGCUGGGGAGAGGAACGCAGACACGAGCCCUCUCUCUCUCUCACACCCAGAGCUCACGGAACACCCACUGACACUUUUGUGGGCUGGACCCCCAUCUCCUAGUGCAAUGGUGUCUUCUCGGUUCCUCUGUUGGCAGGAAUGAACAGUUGAGGACCGCCAGAUGUUGUGGAGCAUUUCCUGGAAGACUCAGACUUGAAAGGACAAGUUGGAAAGCAAAGCAGCAUGCUCUGGCCAUGAUGUGUCACUUCAGCCCUCAAGAAAGAAAAAAAAUGGGGUGUGAACUGAAGCCUCCAAAACUUUGAGCCCAAAUAAACCUUCUCUGCCAAAAAGCUGAGCUUGGGGAUCUGUUAGUGAUGGAAGGCUUACUGACAUACUUGUGGAAGGCACGUAAAAAGAGCCCCUAGGGCCAGCGCAACCCUAGCACCAAAUACUGCUGAGAAAUCUUGAGAUGCUUGAAGCCAACAGCAUACCUCCCAGAAAGGAAAGUUUGCGAAGUGCCAUUCAAACAUGAGCCCUACAGGUCCGCCUCCCUCCUACUCUCAUCUGGGAUGAACCAACUGCAGGAGGUGGAUGAGAAAGGAAAGAGCAAGGGUGUUCAAGGUCCAGCCUACCUGACCUUCAGUGCUGCCUGUCCUUUUAACCAGCCUGGCAAGGUGUUGCUGUGGACGCUGUUGACAGCCACAACACUAUGGAGGAUGCUGGCUCUGAACUGAGACCCAGCGAAACAUCACCUGAUGAUAUAGCCUCCAUGGACCCUCCCCAGGAUGGGAAAACCAAAGACGAAAAUGACAGGGGCAGGUCCCCCGAGGAACCUGCUGUGUCCUAUCACUGGGGAGCUCCAGCCCCAGGUGGCACCCACAGUUUCCAGCGCCCCUAGACGAAGGGGCUGAAAGGAGGAGUCAGAACAGGCCCAGUUCUGUGGUCAUCAAACCACAGGGCUAGGGUCAGGCUGGUAUAGACUGAGAGCUUCAGGAAGAAUCCAGGCCAAAAUCCCAGGAAUCUGUACGCUCGAACACCAGUUGCCAUUCAGACACCCUUGGGAGUCAGGGUGCAAGCUCCCCUCCCCUCCUCCUCGCUGCUGGGUCUGAGCUAACAGCUCCCCCCUCCUCUAGUUCACUGUGUCCCCAGUAUCUUCCCGGAGAAGGACGUGCUCCGCAUGGCUUCCACCUCAUGAAGCUACAUCCCUCCAGCCUCUGCAGAACGGGUGGGAUGGAGCACCCACAGUGAGAGAACUGAGUGUCACCACUGGACUCAGGGCCUUCACCAGCUUGUCCCCUCAUCCGCACCAGCCCCAUCACUGACCAGUGCAGA